AGUAUUUGAAAAAAAUGGAGAUGACGAGCUUCGGCAAAAAAAAUAACAUUUGUUUUUCACGAAAAGAGGUUGUAUGACUUCGGUAUCCGCAAUACGGUAUCGUGCAUUGAUUUCCAUCUUAGAAUGGCUCCCUCCCGUAUAGGUGGAAAUAGGAAAGGUUAUGUCCUUUUUUCUAAUUCUUAAGACGAAGAGGCUUAAUCGGUUCAAACAAAGAUGACGAUGAUCAUUAUGAUGACGAAUACGAUAAUGCAUAUAAUAAUAAAUAAAAUGUUUUUACUUGUAUCUUAGACUUAUAUAAAUAAAAAAAUAUUUGUUUAA